UACGUAGGGUACAAGCGUUGUCCGGAAUUAUUGGGCGUAAAGAGCUUGUAGGCGGUUUGUCGCGUCUGCUGUGAAAAUCCGGGGCUCAACCCCGGACUUGCAGUGGGUACGGGCAGACUAGAGUGUGGUAGGGGAGACUGGAAUUCCUGGUGUAGCGGUGAAAUGCGCAGAUAUCAGGAGGAACACCGAUGGCGAAGGCAGGUCUCUGGGCCACUACUGACGCUGAGAAGCGAAAGCAUGGGGAGCGAACAGGAUUAGAUACCCGCGUA
rnacentral:rRNA from 1 species